GUAUCCAUGGAGGGCAAGUCUGGUGCCAGCAGCCGCGGUAAUUCCAAGCUCCAAAAGUAUAUAUUUAAGUUGUUGCGGUUAAAAAGCUCGUAGUUGGAUUUUGGGCGCAGGCGGCCGGUCCGUCGCAAGGCGUGUACUGGACGUCCUGGCCUUCCCUCCGGUUCUCCGCCGGUGCUCUUGACUGAGUGUCGGCGGCGGCCGGAACGUUUACUUUGAAAAAAUUAGAGUGUUCAAAGCAGGCUCUCGAGCCUGGAUAAUGGUGCAUGGAAUAAUGGAAUAGGACCUCGGUUCUAUUUUGUUGGUUUUCGGAGCGCGAGGUAAUGAUUAAGAGGGACAGACGGGGGCAUUCGUACUGUGCCGUUAGAGGUGAAAUUCUUGGAUCGGCGCAAGACGAACGACUGCGAAAGCAUUUGCCAAGAAUGUUUUCUUUAAUCAAGAGCGAAAGUCAGAGGUUCGAAGACGAUCAGAUACCGUCCUAGUUCUGACUAUAAACGAUGCCAACUAGCGAUCGGGGGGCGUUACAUUGACGACCCCUCCGGCAGCUUACGGGAAACCAAAGUCUUUGGGUUCCGGGGGAAGUAUGGUUGCAAAGCUGAAACUUAAAGGAAUUGACGGAAGGGCACCACCAGGAGUGGAGCCUGCGGCUUAAUUUGACUCAACACGGGAAAUCUCACCCGGCCCGGACACAG
rnacentral:ncRNA from 1 species